AGGUCACUGCUAUCGGUGUUCGAUUAAGCCAUGCGAGUCGUGAGGGGUAAAGCCCUCGGCGGAGUGCUCAGUAACACGUGGACAACCUACCCAAGAGUCAGGGAUAACCCCGGGAAACUGGGAUAAUACCUGAUAGGCCAUGACAUCUGGAAUCGAGUUGUGGUUUAAACGUAAGGCUCUUGGAUGGGUCUGCGGCGGAUCAGGUUGUUGCCGGUGUAACGUACCAGCAAGCCUGUAAUCCGUACGGGUUGUGGGAGCAAGAGCCCGGAGAUGGAUUCUGAGACACGAAUCCAGGCCCUACGGGGCGCAGCAGGCGCGAAAACUCUACAAUGCAGGCAACUGCGAUAGGGGAACAUCGAGUGGCAUCCACCAUGGAUGUCUGUCCAAUCGUCUAAAAAACGAUUGUCAGCAAGGGCCGGGCAAGACCGGUGCCAGCCGCCGCGGUAAUACCGGCGGCUCGAGUGGUGGCCGAUAUUAUUGAGUCUAAAGGGUCCGUAGCCGGCUUUGCAAGUCCUAUGGGAAAUCCAGCGGCUUAACCGUUGGGCUUUCAUGGGAUACUACAUUGCUUGGGACUGGGAGAGGUAGGAGGUACUCAGGGGGUAGGGGUGAAAUCCUGUAAUCCUUUGGGGACCACCGGUUGCGAAGGCGUCCUACCAGAACAGGUCCGACGUGAGGGACGAAAGCUAGGGGCACGAACCGGAUUAGAUACCCGGGUAGUCCUAGCCGUAAACGAUGCUCGCUAGGUGUCACGGCAGUCGUGAAUUGUCGUGGUGCCGUAGGGAAGCCGUGAAGCGAGCCACUUGGGAAGUACGACCGCAAGGUUGAAACUUAA
rnacentral:rRNA from 1 species